UUACGACGAUACAGUAUCCAGACGAAAAUACAGUAAAUAUCUCAUGUUGGAACACUUCUCUAAUACAAAUACAGAACAUAAGUGUACAAGUAGAGGAAACGACCUGUGGUCCAAAUCCAUGUGUUUUGAAUUAUAAUGAUACACAGACUGUAGAAGAUAGUUGUGACGGUCGUAAUUCCUGUCUGAUGGAUUACAAUUUUACAUCAGCCUGUUUACGGGAGUUUAAAUACAUAAGUCUGUCGUACACUUGUAAACACGAGAACGGUACAAGCGUAAGUACUUUUGAGGCAGAUUUUGGAGAUUGGAUGGUAGAUUCAUCAAAUGGUACUAAAUGGAAACGUAACGCUCUUGUGAAAGAUCACACCCUAGUACACUUAAAUAAGAAUGGUUAUAGCAUUUAUGCGUUUUCCUAUUCUGGUAUAGCUGGUACAAUACGUAUUGAUACAGAUAAAGAAUUCGUGGAACCAAUAUGUUUGUCACUUUGGUAUCAAUUGUAUGCCAAUUCUUUUGAUUGCCUUUUUAGUAUAUACAAGAUUACUGACGGAAAUCAGACUUUACUAUUUACUGUGGAUGGCAAUUCUACAUCUUUAAGUCAAUGGAUCAAUAUAUCGGUAGAUGUAUAUGGACAAGAUCCGUUUAAGAUAGUAUUGGAAGCAGACUUUAAACAACGUUAUGCAAUAGCAGCACGUGCUGUUUUAAUAGAUGAUACAUCGAUAGCGUAUAGGCCAUGUGAAGGUCAACAAGUGCAUUCAACCUGCCUCGAUUUGAACGAACCAAUUGAAAUAGACUGUGAAAAACAAUUCCUUGUCGGUGACAUUAGAGCUGUACUCGAACCCGAAAAUCCGACCAAUCAUCUGAAAAAGUGUCCCGCAGAAUCUAUUGGAAAUGAGAUAAAUAGCUUUUGUAGAAACUUGACGGAGACGGACAAAUGUCAAUUCAGCGUAUUGAAUUUUAUGAACGGAAAUGAAGAAUGUUACGUCUCCAACAAGAACAUUUCUGUUUUGUUUCAAU